AAGAAAGCCACAAAGUAUGGCAUGAAAAUAUUUCAAGACUGAAGAUGAGAAAACUCUGCAGCUUAGAUUGGUCAUUGUGGAUUGUUUAGCUGCUGUGGUGUCCCCUGUUUUGGGUGGUCAACAAAUUCAUGGUCAUUCAUUGAUGGUGAAACUU